rnacentral:hammerhead_ribozyme from 1 species
AUCCUGCUGAGAAGUCCCAAAUUGGACGAGACGCGCGUCUUGGAU